GCAGUGCCCUGCCCAGUCAGUGCCAGUGGGAGAGAGAUAACAUGAACAUCAACAUCAACGUAUUCGAAAAAAGACUUCCAUUUUUAUGCAUUUUCAAAGGGCAUCGUCGAAAUUAAAGUAGAAAUCUUGGGCAACCUUUUGCUUCCACUAGUAUAAGUAAGCCACAAGACAAACACUUUCUUAGAGAAUUGAAUUGAAAUGGCGAAGCUGCCAUGCCCCGUUACUCCUAGUCAUCAGCACCUGUUUUUGCUAGUAAUGAUAAUAGCCUUGCUUUCUUUUUGCUUUCGUUGUUCGCUUUCAGAGAUCAUUUUCGAAGAGCGUUUUGAAGAGGGGUGGCAAAGACGUUGGGUUAAAUCCGACUGGAAAAGCAGUGAAGGCAAAGCAGGUUCCUUUAAACACACAGCUGGAAAGUGGUCUGGAGACCCAGAUGAUAAAGGAAUUCAGACAUCAAAUGAUGCCAAACAUUUUGCCAUAUCUGCAAAGAUACCGGAGUUCAGCAACAAGAACAGGACGUUGGUCCUCCAAUACUCUGUACGGUUUGAGCAGGAAAUUGAAUGUGGUGGGGGUUACAUAAAGCUUAUGUCUGGAUUUGUUAAUCAGAAGAAAUUCAGUGGGGACACUCCAUACAGUUUAAUGUUUGGACCUGAUAUAUGUGGCACGGAUACAAAGAAGCUCCAUGUUAUUCUCUCUUACCAAGGCCAGAAUUACCCCAUCAAGAAGGAUUUACAGUGUGAAACCGACAAGUUGACUCAUUUUUACACAUUCAUUCUUAGGCCUGAUGCAACGUAUAGUGUCCUAGUUGACAACAGAGAAAGGGACUCUGGAAGCAUGUACACAGACUGGGAUAUUCUUCCUCCAAGAAAGAUUAAAGAUGUUAAUGCAAAGAAGCCAGCAGACUGGGAUCUUAGAGAAUACAUUGAUGAUCCUGAUAGCAUCAAACCUGAGGGACAUGAUUCAAUUCCAAGAGAAAUUUCAGAUCCAAAAGCUAAAGAGGUUAAUUGCUUAUGGAGUAGUACUAUAAACAAACCUGAUGACUGGGAUGAAGAAGAGAACGGUUUAUGGAAAGCUCCAAAGAUACCAAAUCCAGCUUAUAAAGGACCAUGGAAACCCAAGAAAAUCAAGAACCCCAAUUAUAAAGGGAAAUGGAAGACUCCUUGGAUUGAUAAUCCUGAGUUUGAAGAUGACCCUGAUCUUUAUGUGCUUAAGCCAAUUAAGUACGUGGGUGUCGAAGUUUGGCAGGUAAAGGCUGGUUCAGUUUUUGACAACAUUUUAAUUUGUGAUGAUCCUGAGUAUGCCAAACAAGUUGUCGAGGAAGUCUUUACCAAUAGAGAGGCUGAAAAGGAUGCCUUUGAAGAAGCAGAAAAAAAGAGGAAGGCACAAGAGGAAGAGGAAGCUCAAAGAGCGAGAGAGGAGGGUGAAAGGAGGAGACGAGAUAGGGGUUAUGAUCGAGGUCGAGACAGACACAGAGACAGAUACCGAAGGUGAUCAGCCAUGGACGCGCUGAGGAAGCAGCUGGACCAGCUUAUGGGGGCCAAUCGAAACGGCGACGUCCGAGAGGUCAACCGCAAAUAUUACGAUCGCGAAGUGUGUCGCCUCUACUUGGUUGGGCUCUGCCCCCACGAGCUUUUCCAGUUAACGAAAAUGGAUAUGGGUCCCUGCCCUAAGGUCCACUCGUUGCAGCUCAGAAAAGAAUACGAAGAAGCCAAAGCAAAAGGGACUGAUAACUAUGACAGAGACCUGGAGGAUGUCAUAGAUAGGCUCAUUGUUGAGUGUGAUAGGAAAAUUGCUAGAGCUCUUAAGCGCCUUGAGGAUGAUGAUGCAAAGGCUGCUAUUGCAAUUUCUGUCUCUGAAGUUACUCAGACGCCAGAGGUACUCGAGUUGUCAAAGCAGAUCAAGGAAAAGUUGAAAGAAGUUGAUCAAUUUGAUCUUGAAGGCAAGACAGAUCUUAAGAUUCGGGCUAUGGAGAUAGUAGACGAACUCAGAGGCAAGAGAGCAGAUAAACAGUCCAUGCUUCUUUUGGAUGCUUUCAAUAAGGAUAGGGCAUCCUUACCUCAACCCCUGCCAAACCCGCCACCUUUGGCACCCUUGCCUGUAGUUGUUCCCGAUGCCCGAACACAGGAAAUGAUAAAUGAAAAGUUGAAGAAGGCAGAGGACCUUGGUGAGCAAGGAAUGGUUGAUGAGGCACAAAAAGCGCUGGAAGAGGCUGAAGCACUGAAGAAGCUGCCUGCCAGACAGGAGCCUAUCCUGGAUUCCUCCAAGUACACUGCUGCUGAUGUGCGCAUUACUGAUCAAAAGCUACGUGUUUGUGACAUCUGUGGAGCAUUUUUGAGUGUUUAUGACAGUGACCGUCGUUUAGCGGAUCACUUUGGCGGGAAGCUUCAUUUAGGCUAUAUGCAAAUCCGUGAGAAGUUAGCAGAGCUGCAGGAAGAGAGAAACAAGAUUCGCAAGGUUGAUCGGUCUGAGGAUAGGAGAUCAAAAGAGCGAAGUAAGGAACGCGACAGGGAAUCAAGUAGGGAUAGGGAACGAGGAGAUAGCCGCGACCGAGGUAGGGAUCAUGAUCGUAGGAGCAGAGAUCGUGAUAGGUAUUAUGAUCGAGAUCGCGGAUAUGAUCGUGAGCGUGACAGAGAUUCAGAUCGCUCCCGCAAUUAUGAUUCGAGAAGUCGCCGUAGAUCACGCUCACGAUCAAGGGAGCGUUCCAGGGAUUAUGAUCGCCACAGGCGUUAUGAUCGGUACUAGGUCAUCCUUGCUAUGGAGCAUGUGGCAAAAGCAUAAUUUGUGUUCUUGUCUAGGUCAGUUUUAAACUCGUGUACCAAGAUGAUUUUAUGUGUUUCUUUUUCGAUAUUGUUUCUGUUCUGGAGUUGAGCUGUUUGACCUGUGAUGGAUGUAAGGACUGCUGCUUAGUUUUUCUCAACUUCGUGUUUAAGAGGUAUGUUUGAGAGGUAUGUUUUACUCUGUUUUAAGAUGGUAUUUGCAUUUUGCUUCAUAUUUGGAUGUAAUUUUUGGCCAUCGAAGAGUGGCUGUAAUUGAAGUAGUUACCUUUGCUAUCUUGAAA